AUAGUGAGUCCUGCAGGCAAUAAGCUUGCUUCCUCUCCUCACUUUUCCCUCUCUGUCAGUCUCAGAGACCCCUCUUUCAUUCUUCACUAGACAAGGUAGAACAGCAGUGCCCUUCUCUCCAAUAUGGUUCCCUUAGCCAAUAUACAGGGUCUAACCAUUUUGAGAUGUACUUUGGCCAGAUCUGAAAUCCUGUCUUAAUCAGUGAACUAUGUGGUAGCAACGAUUUCUUUAAAUUCAUAAAAUGGUGGAUGGAAAGAAUCAGGCAGCAGGUGUACAAAAUUGGAAGUACUGUAUAAGAUAAUAGAGAAAGAAAUGUAAAAAAAUAUAUCUGGAAAGAAACAAAGCAAAAUGAACCCAUAAGAAAUUG
rnacentral:lncRNA from 1 species